rnacentral:rRNA from 1 species
UGGGGAAUAUUGGACAAUGGGCGAAAGCCUGAUCCAGCCAUGCCGCGGGUGUGAAGAAGGUCUUCGGAUUGUAAAGCACUUUAAGUUGGGAGGAAGGGCAGUAAGCGAAUACCUUGCUGUUUUGACGUUACCGACAGAAUAAGCACCGGCUAACUCUGUGCCAGCAGCCGCGGUAAUACAGAGGGUGCAAGCGUUAAUCGGAAUUACUGGGCGUAAAGCGCGCGUAGGGGGUUCGUUAAGUUGAAUGUGAAAGCCCCGGGCUCAACCUGGGAACUGCAUCCAAAACUGGCGAGCUAGAGUAGGGCAGAGGGUGGUGGAAUUUCCUGUGUAGCGGUGAAAUGCGUAGAUAUAGGAAGGAACACCAGUGGCGAAGGCGACCACCUGGGCUCAUACUGACACUGAGGUGCGAAAGCGUGGGGAGCAAACAGG